GGUGUGCAAAAACCGACCGAAACCGAAUUUCCGAACCGAACCGAACCGAUUUUGAAAAUUCGGUUCGGUUUUUCGGUUUUUCGGUUCGGUUCGGUUUAAAUAAAUAAAUUUUUUGAAUAUUUCGGUUCGGUUCGGUUUGAGUGAAAAACCGUCCGAAAAAACCGAAUUUCCGAAAUAUUAACACAUCUAAUUUUAUCCCUUCAGUGAAACGUGGUCGUUUGAGUAAUUUACUCUCACUCGCUGACUUUAGUCCCACACAAACCCUAAAAUCUAAUUUCAUUUUUCCUCUCUCACUCACAUAGCACAGCCGCCAUAGCCCUAAUAUCCAAUUUCCAUUUUCAAUUCCUCUCACACAGUUGUAUGCUUCCUAUUCAUUUUUCUUUCCCUAUCUCACAAAGCUACAUGCUUCUCAUUCAAUUUUUCUUUCCAUUUCAUGAUGGCCAACGACGCAAUUAAGUCCCUUAUUUGAGAAUAAUUUUGUCAAUCCCUAAUCUGAAGGACAAUUUCAAGAUGAUGUGUGAGGCUGUGUACAAUUUGUAGCUGUUGCUUUAAGGAUGUAGAACUGCUGUUUUGAAGAUUCGAUUAUAGAAUUUCUAUUAGAAAUUGUUGAAUUUGUAUUUCUGUAUUUGAACUUUGAAGUAUUUUUGAAUUUGUUUUAUUGUAUAUGGAUUUGUUAGUUUGAAGGUGUAUGAAUUUGUAAAAAUGCAGUUUUAAUUGUGAAAAAAGAGCAGGUUUUAUGAAUAUUA